CGGCGUCGACUGCGUGCAAAACAACCGCCGCCAACGCAACUCCACACCUCCCAGACCCACACGUCAAAGAACGCGAACCCCGCGGCCCCAACUUCUGGCCUCUCCGCUCCGGCGCCUGCAGCCCCGCGGGGAAGGGGCGACGCGAGGGGGCGCAGGGACAGCCCCGCACCUGGGAGGCCCGAGGGGGCGCCCGGGAGGGAGGGGCUGCAAACGGCGGCGAGCGCGCGCGGCAACCGCCAAACGCCCGCCUUUGUAGCCCCGGCCCCGCGUCCUUACCCUGCCGACGGCUGCUCGGCUCCGGCCCGCGGCGGCGGCCCCAGAGCCGAGGACCGGGGUGGGCUCGCGCUCUUCGUCACUGGAGAAGUCCGGGGGCCCCUUGCUGUUGGUGCCGGCGGGGAGCGGCGGCCGGUUGCGAGCCGUGAGGUGCUGCAGGACCGAGGGGUCUUCCAGGAACUCCGGCAUCUCGGGGAUCUGCGAAGCCCCCUCCCCACAGCCUUUGCCGCCGCCGCUCACGCCGGCGCGCUUGCUCCUGGCCGGGGACCGCGCUGCCGCCUCCGAGCCUCACGGCUCCUGCCCGGGAAGAGCGCUGCGGAGCGGAACAAAAACUCGCGGACACAAAGCCAAGCCAGACCCGGACACAAAAGACCCCAGAGCCGAACUACGAACCAACUGCGGCCAAGCUGGAAGCUCGCACCAACCCCAGCCCACACACUACAGGCAGGAGGCGAGCAGCCUGCUUCGCCCACGCCCCAAGAACGCGCGCCGCCAUUGGCGGGCGACGGGAGGAAGCGCGGCGGUGAUUGGCGAGACGGCUCGCGCGGGUUCCAUUAGCCGCCGCGCUGAGCGAGAGGAGACGCCGAUAAGGGACAGGUCGUACUGCUUUUGUGCGCCGUUUCCUCUCCCUCCCCCAGCUUGAGAAGCAGCUUUCGUCUCUGGGGUCGAUCGCCUACGAACGCGCCGAAUUCCACGCCAGUGUGAGGACCCUUGGCUGGGCCUUUCUUCCUCCCGGGACACUGAAGCUCCAAGAGUAGCCGCAGCCUUGCCUUCCCCAAACGCUAGCCCUGAAGGGGAAGAAAAGAAGCGAGGCUUGUCUGCAGGCACUCAUAUUCCUUGAUUUGAUUUACUUUGGGAGGGGGAGGGCGGGGAGUUACCCCUCUCCUCGCGAACGCUUCUUUUGUUCCAGAAACCCAGGGGAAGCCAGACCUCUACAAUCGGGCACUUAAAUUACCCUUGAAUUUGUGACAAAAGUGUACUAUACCAUUCACUUCUUAGUGUCAUAGUUGGGGCAUGUCUAAAUUGUUUAAUUUGAACAGUGCGUUCAGACGCAAGACAAAUUCGCGCUUGCAUUUUUGUUGAAACCGUCUCUGGCUUUGGAUCCCACCACCCGCAAGAAUCCUAAACCUAACGUUUGAUAACAAAACGAAGGAGAACCCUUGGGAACCCCCUCAAUGGUCAAUUUAAAAUAACAGAUGGUGCAUAAUCCUAAAGGAAGACUAGUGACCUAUAAUUAGGCCUAGAACCCUAAUCAAACCCGUAUUACCGAUCCAAAUUAAAACCUGGUAGAAUCUAAUACAUUGACUGCAAUUAAAAUGUUUGCCUGGAAAUUAGUAUCACUGAUGACAAAUAUUUGUAUUUCUGAUGAAUAUGUAUGUUUAAAGAUGCUUUCUUUCUAGAAAGGAAAGGAGACCUUGGAUGUAGGGUGUGUUAAUCAUUUCCCCAGAAUCUGAGCUCCAAACUAUGUUUUAGAAACUGGUUAAAUUUUUUUUAAAUGUUUGCCUGCUUUCUACAUUGCUAGGUUAGAAUACAUUUAAAACAAACGCCUUCACUAAAAAUGUUUCCUAUGAUUUAAGCGACUUACUUUUAUUCAAAUUGCGAUAUUAUUUCUUUUAGUGAUAAUUAUUUUCCUAGAGGUAACUAAUUCCUUUAUAAAAAUCUCAGUAUUCACAUACAUUUAAGCAAUGGUAUUAAGCUCAAUAAUGCAAAUUAAAAAUCAGGUUUUAAUUAGCAAGUUGUUAGGUAGGUUUUUAUGAUCCCUUGUAAAAGUUGCUUGGUUUUUUGUCCUCACAGCUUCCCUGGACACAUAGGCAAAUGUUUUUAUCUUCAGAAGGGGAACUGAGCUGAGAGGCAAAGGACCAUGACUUUGCAAUGACUGGUAACCCAGUACGUAUAAUGCAAGAACUGCAUUCUAGAUACGCCUGAAAUUAAUGUUUCCUGGGCAAAAACAUUUUCAUUAUCUUUUUUUUAAUCCCUGGACAUUAGCUACAGGUGGUUACUUGCAGAUUUACUGCUGUAGAGCUCCAAAAUUGAGAUUACACUUUUCAGAUUCUGCGUACCCUAAGGCUAAGAGGUUGGGCUAUUGAGUUUGGGUGGUCUCUUUGGUCCUGAUUGCUACUUCCAAACCAUUUCUGCUCUUUUCUGCUUCAAAAAUAUUUGAAGUUCAUAUCUUCUGGCUAAAUCACUUUCUACUCUCCUUCCUGCCAUCAUCCACGAGCCUCCUGGUCACUUUCCAGAAAUUAUAGAGCUGCUUGCCGUAGGUUUUCCUCACCAUCCCUCUUGUCUACAUUCUAUCUGAAUUCAGCAUGCUUGUAGGUGACCCAUGCAACACCAACACUUGGCCUCUUAGACCUCUGACCUCUUCAUCUCCAACAAUUUGUUCCUCUCUUGCGUCUUAACCACUUCGGUAUCAGUCAGAUUCUGAACCUUGUCAUCAGUUGAAAUCUCAGUUUCAAGCUUCCCAAUUGUCAAUCACUAGCCUUUUUUUCCCAGCUAAUUUAUGGUACUCUCACUUACCUAAUUAAGACCUCCACGCUAUUAACCCCAACACUUAAAAAAACUCAACUCUUCUGCUUCUGCCAUCAUGUAAUAAUUUUGCAACUCACCUGACUUAAAUUCCCUGAUCAGUCCUUUUCAUCACUCUUUUACAAACAUUUUCAACUCUCUGAUCUCAAUGUCUCCUUUUUUGCUUGAAAGAAUCUCAGCCUUGCUUGGACUAAACCAUGCUCCAGCUGAACUUUCUCAUUGCUUACAUCCAAACAGCAAAAGCUGCUGGAGAAAAGUCAGUCAUAUAACAAGCUAACUGGUUUUAAUUCAUGACCUCAGUCCUCUCAGGAGCACUCAACACUGGCUGGCAAUGCUAUUCCAGUCUCUGGGUUAACCAUUCAUACGUUCACAUCUCCUCAAAUUUCACAUCCUUUUUCCCUACCUCUCAUUUUUAGCUGGUGACCUUGCCUCAACUUCAAAAAAUAAAAACCACCUAUGAGGAAUGCUUCAA
rnacentral:lncRNA from 1 species